rnacentral:rRNA from 1 species
UGGGGAAUAUUGCGCAAUGGGGGGAACCCUGACGCAGCCAUGCCGCGUGAAUGAAGAAGGCCUUCGGGUUGUAAAGUUCUUUCGGUAUUGAGGAAGGUUGAUGUGUUAAUAGCACAUCAAAUUGACGUUAAAUACAGAAGAAGCACCGGCUAACUCCGUGCCAGCAGCCGCGGUAACACGGAGGGUGCGAGCGUUAAUCGGAAUAACUGGGCGUAAAGGGCACGCAGGCGGUUAUUUAAGUGAGGUGUGAAAGCCCCGGGCUUAACCUGGGAAUUGCAUUUCAGACUGGGUAACUAGAGUACUUUAGGGAGGGGUAGAAUUCCACGUGUAGCGGUGAAAUGCGUAGAGAUGUGGAGGAAUACCGAAGGCGAAGGCAGCCCCUUGGGAAUGUACUGACGCUCAUGUGCGAAAGCGUGGGGAGCAAACAGGAUUAGAUACCCUGGUAGUCCACGCUGUAAACGCUGUCGAUUUGGGGGUUGGGGUUUAACUCUGGCGCCCGUAGCUAACGUGAUAAAUCGACCGCCUGGGGAGUACGGCCGCAAGGUUA